UGGGCGGAUACAGCGCUGCUCUGCACACUUCUCCUUGUGUUAGCUUGCAGCCUUAUAUUGCAGGUGUAGCAGAAGAAACAGGUAACAUAGGAGCUCUUCAGCUCUUGGACACUAUUCUCUUUAGGGGCAUGAUGAAAGCUAAUAUCAUAAUUAGCUUUCUUACAAGCAUUUCAAUCCGCUAACGUAGACUCUUGUUCCAACUUCUUCCUCGCCCUAUUUCUCUGAGCCUGGCCUGCAUAGUGGGGCUCCAGGGGUGGAGCUUGGAUUGGUUACAUAGGAAAUCUCACUGUAUCUGAUCUUGCCGUUUGGGUCUGCCAGAGAUUCAUAGUGAUUUGAAUGAAAAAAUACUUGGUCUCUCGAAUCAGAAAAAUGCCAUAUGAACAUGUAGACAACAAGAAAAACACGAAUUUCAUUGGAGUGGGUUUUUAAGAGAGUGAAAGAUUGCAGAUUUAAACACUUUUGAUUUCCUUUGGAUCAAUUGAAUUAGUUUGAAAACAGAAAACAUUUUGAUUAAUUGACUUUCUGUUAAUGAAAAAUUUUGUCUAAAGAGUCUUUUAGUCUAAAGACUAAAUCUAAGCUACCAAAAUUAAUGCAGAUAGUGAGCAAGCGGUUAUGGAAAUCAUAGUGAGUCAGGCCCCGCCUCCUUUUCAUGGAUGUAUUUUACAAAUUUACUGCCAAAAAAACGUCAUUGUAUUUGGGCCUGAUAAAUAAAAAGUGACCUGUUAGUUGACAAUAAAGGAGUUUAUAAUUCCCUUCAUAAUCCCCUCGGGGUGGAUGGACUCUUUGCUUUACAUGGGGUUCUCGUCUCAGGUUUCUAUUUUGCAUAAACACCCACUCACUAUAUAUUAUUCCUUACUUACACAUUCAUUUAGAGGCAAAUUCAACUUCCUACUAAGCAACUAAACUAUAUAAGAAUCCUUUAAUGCAUGAGCUCUCUGUAUACACCACAACUUUGAUAAGAGCGGGUACUCCACAUUCUGAGGGGUCAAAGGUUAACAAGUGAAACUGGAUUCUGUGCCUGUGUCUGUGUGGGUGAAUAGGAGUGUGUAAUCAAUACACACACACACAGUUACCAUGGCCUGUUGGAAACAUUCCUGCCUCGGGGUGAGUAAAGAAGCAAAACUACACAGUGUAAAGGUGGGAGAGGGGUUGUGUGGUCGAUAGUGAUAUGUGAUCGUGGUGGUGCGGUGGUGGUGUUGAGGAAGACGAGGCUGGAGGUGGAUACAAGCCCUGAAAUAAGAGUGAAAUAAUGAUCCUGGCAUCCCUGCAGUUCAGGUACACCAUAACCUCUGCCUGCGUGUACACAUCUGUGUGUGUGUGUGUUUGUGUUUUUAUGAGUGUGUGAGCGUGUGCUCACAGGCACUGCAACAACAGCGCCGAAAGUGGAGAAAGGAGGGAGAAGUGGGGGGGUUGGCAAUUCCCAGCUGCCAGCCUGACCUGCAGGUUAGCUGCUGUACUUCUGCCUGACCGGCUGUAAAAUUAGGAGCAAACAAGGUGCUCUUUAAAAACAAGGGCUAGCAUCCAAAGCGGUGUCUCUCUGGGGUAAAUAAUUCAUAUUAAAAACAUCACUCACAAAAGCACUAAAAAUACGCCCUGGGCUCUGAAGACUCAAUGAUGUGCCAAGCCUAGGAAGCCUUGAAUAAAAAGCACACAUCGGUAAGAGGGAACGCCGAAUCCUCUCACUUUGAGGUGUGUUGGUAUAAUCCUGAACCUUAAACUAAUCCUCCUGUUCUGGAAAUAAGUGCACUUAUAAUGUGGUUGAAUUUCCUUCUCUUUUAUCACUCAUGAUUGGAUAUACUCUUGAUAUAUUCCUAACCAAAGCGGGUCACUGAGCUUGGAGUGACUCUAUUUCUCAAUGAGUCACACUAAAAUUAUUAUUUCUUUUUUUUCCACAAAGCAGCGUGCCUUUUCAAUCUCAUUUUAAACAGAUGCCACAGGCUUUGCUGUGCACCGAAGAAAUAGAGCAGGCUCUUAUUUUCCCUCUGAAGAACAUACUCAGAGAAAAAGUGACAGAGGGGAAAUGUUGAUCUCACAACAAUCCCUCUUUGUGUAUAAAACAGCUUUACUACUUGCAAAUGGAUGAGGUUUGAAUCAGCAGAAUGUUCAGAGAACAAUUGCAGGAAGGUAAUGGAACUUUUGAAAGUCCAAAUAUGAAUCAGGCAUGAAAACAGAGAGCACACAUCUCCAUUUAUCCUGUUUAGAGGACAUGAGUUAGUGUUAUACUUUAACAAAUGCUAUAUGUAGCUAUCAGUGCCUCAGUGAAAUAGGUCAAUAGAUUGUGUGUGUGCGUCUAAUCUCAGAUCAGAUGGUGUUCUCAUCCAGGGCUAUUAAUGUGCUGAUCCACUAAUUGGGAGAGCUUGCUCUCUUAAUGCAAUGGCCUUCUAAAUGUGUCCGUCCCAGUAAUUUAAUAAUGGCCAUUUCAUGCUACUCUGACUUUUCAAACAGCUUGCUCGGGGCAGCUACAGGGACCGGUUAUUGAUUGAAACUCUGAGGCAGCCUGGGCUUGGCUGUGGGUGAGAGAGGCUGAUCAGUCUGCUUCCCAGAGUCCAGAUGCAACCACAACACCCCCCACCCUCCCCUCGCCUUUUUUUCCCCUCCUCUCCACAUGCUACUCAUAAACACACAAACAUGAGACAUAGACACACAAAGAGCAAGUGCAUACUCGCUCAUAAAUUUGUGCUUUCCACUGAGAUCUACUGCAGCAUGCAGGCACGAUCCACUGACCACAGAAGGGAGCUUUAAAGGGGGAAACAAAGAAGUGGAAAAAUGUCACAGAAGUCUGAAAUAAAGACAUGGGACCUCUUCAACAGCUCUCUUAGUCUCUCACCUCAGUGCACUGCUCUGUGUACAGUCACUAGGACCUGCGCUGGAGCCUGUGUCUGAGGAGUAAUGAGGAGCGGGCCGAGGAGGAGAGAUAAGAGGAAGAGUGAUGGGGGUCAGGCUGCAGCGUUGCUGGCAGCCCUCAUGGACCUCACACACCCUCCUCCUUCUCCUCCUCCUCCUCCUCCUUCUCCUCCGACAGGCUGUCCAGGACUCUGUUUGUUUGCACAAGGUGAUAAAUAAUUUGGCCUGAGCUGACAUGGAUUAAUGUGGCCCUUAGCCUCCUUUUCCCUCCCUCCGCAUUUGGUCGCACAAAUGUUUGGCCCCUGAGUCCAGCUGUCUCUUAAUGGCCGGAAUACAUGCAGGUCUUAUCAGCCUUUCAAAGCGAGGGACCCAGGCUAUCAUGGAUCUUAAGGAUGCUUUCUUAUAUUUAGAGCAGAGCCCUGGACGUGUUCCCCUGUGGCGUUCGCGAGAAUACAGAGUUUUGCUGCUCCCAGAGUGCACCUUGAAAUGUUUUCUUCUCCAAUUAGAAACAUUUGGAACAUUAAGAUUUGAGGUUUUUUUUCAACAGGCAGAAGAAAUCAUUUAAAUAGAAAGAAAUAAAACCAAAGGAAAACAAUCAGAGUAAAAAACCCACAUAGGGAAUACUGAUUAAUGUGAUGAGCAUAAACUUUAAGGCUUUCUAGAGCUGCAAUUUAUCGUAAAAGUAAAAGUAAUUGCACAUUAUGACCACGAUUUGCAUGUGCAACUGGAGUCAUCAACACACCACAAUGACCAAAUCAGAUUGUGAGUCUGAUUAAACAUUUGCUGCACUUGCAUCAUAAUCACACACCCUUAAAGCAUGAUGACAGUGAGCAGGUGACAUUAAGACUAAGAGCUGUUGUGCAUGCUAAUCAGACUCGUAAUUAUAAGUACUUGAAAUAAUUGAACUGUGCACUCAGAGCCUCGGCUUUGUAUGCUAUAAAUGUCGCACAUUUGGCCUCAUUUUGUAGAAACUUCUUUCUCACUUUGGGGCAGGAAUGAUGACAACUCCUCCGCGCUGUAAAACACCAACACACUAGUCCUCCCAACUAACUUAUCUUACCCCGCUCAGCAAGUUAAAAGGUGUUUUCUCGUCUUCUCUCUCCACUUUUUUGUCUCUAGCAGGGUGUUUCUCCUCAAACUACAUUAUUAGACGCUCUUUAAAAUAUCUAAGAUGUUUCUUGUUUCAAUAAUUAAACAGUGUACAGCUAAGGGCUCUCGUUCUAACUCUUAAUGUGCAUGCCCUAUGGCCUUUAUCUUUGAUCUUUCAGGCUACACAGUGUGCUUUUGCAUAAUUUUAACUCUAACUAGAAACACUCAAGCUGCCAUAUCCUUCCUCUCUUAUUCUCGCUCUCUCUCUAGUACAUUAAGUGGGAUGUUUUUGCUGUUCACUUGUUAGAGACGUACCAUGCUGUGAGUUCAUGUAUGAUGCACCAUGAUGGAUUCAUACACUGACUCUGCAUGUACAUAAAUAGUUACAGUAUUUGCAUACUGAGUAGGACGGUGUCUAUGACUGUUGCUGAGGACAGUUUGUUCUUCUGUGUUUCAUGUUGAGGACUGUGUGUGUGUGUGUCCGUGUGCAUGCCUGUGUGAUUUUUCUUUCUCGGGGGGUUCCAGUUCAGACCCUGCAGUGCUCCAUCAUCUUCAGAGCAGACCCCUGCAGGUGUGGGUCACAGCCCCCCACACCAUGAAACACUCUUCAUCAGAUUCUUGCAAAACUACAGACACACAGACAGCUCACCCAAUCUCAAACUCUUUACACAUAUACACCAAGCAGAAACCUCCAAUGUUGGAAAACAAAUCAGAGCAGAAAGGUGGUAUUUGUGAAAAUACAUACGCUAAACCUAUAAUUCCAUGUAGGUAAUUAAAAUAUAUAGGUCAUGUAAUGCAUAAAUCGAGACGUCAAAUCCAACAAAAAUGAGCAGAAGUUGAAGUUUUAGUUUUCAGAAGGAGAAUUUGUUCAUAACCUGUCCAUAUUUGAAGUAUUACAACUAACACUAUCCACACACACUCACAUAUCCUACAGGUUUGCAUAUGUUAAACAAUAAAUCCACUGGGGCAGAGGUUCCCAACCUCUUUCCCUCUGGCACCACCACCCCUCUCUGUGAUCUUUUUUUGCCUCAGUCCUGCCUAAAUAGGAACAGAAAAGUUGCUAGUCCCUCUAGAUCAUGGUUAUAUGUUGUUUGCUCUUAGCAUGGUCCAGUUUUAACCUGAAUUUAUGGAUGUAACAACUGAUGAUGUACAUGUGAUUUUAAGCCAAUGCAGAGAUUUCCACUGCAGGGUUAUAUCUAUAUUUGCCAAUCAGUAUCAGUUACCAGCCUUGUCUUUUUCGAAGAGAUUUCUCUAGAUUCUUCUAAUCUUGAUGUACCAUAGAAGAUAAAAUCCCGAUAUUCUUUGCAAUUUUAUGCUGAGUGUCAUUAUUCAGAAAUUGCUGGAUCAUUUCUUGAACCGGUCUUGGACAGAGUGGUGAACCUCUUCCCAUCCUUACCUCUUAGAAAUUGUCUCUCUGGAUGCCCCUUUUCUACUUAAUUUUUUUUUUUUAAAUUUGGGCUUUCUGUGUUUUGUAAAUAAUCUUACCAAAGACAGUCAGGCUCACUGUAGAUUCUUGCCAGGAGACCC